AUUGAACGCUGGCGGCAUGCCUUACACAUGCAAGUCGAACGGCAGCACGGGGCAACCUGGUGGCGAGUGGCGAACGGGUGAGUAAUGCAUCGGAUCGUACCUUUCAGUGGGGGAUAACGUAGCGAAAGUUACGCUAAUACAGCAUAUUCUGUGAGCAGGAAAGCAGGGGAUCGCAAGACCUUGCGCUGAUUGAGCGGCCGAUGUCAGAUUAGCUAGUUGGUGAGGUAAAGGCUCACCAAGGCGACGAUCUGUAGCGGGUCUGAGAGGAUGAUCCGCCACACUGGAACUGAGACACGGUCCAGACUCCUACGGGAGGCAGCAGUGGGGAAUUUUGGACAAUGGGGGCAACCCUGAUCCAGCUAUGCCGCGUGAGUGAAGAAGGCCUUCGGGUUGUAAAGCUCUUUCGGCCGGGAAGAAAUCGCACGGGCUAAUACCCUGUGUGGAUGACGGUACCGGAAUAAGAAGCACCGGCUAACUACGUGCCAGCCGCCGCUGUAAUAC
rnacentral:rRNA from 1 species